rnacentral:lncRNA from 1 species
GAGGGCAGCCUGGGAGAGCCUCCAAAAUUCGCCGAGCCGGGUUGCAGCGGGAGCUGCCCGGCGCAGGGGUGGGGACUGCCCGCUUCCUUAAACGGCGCGGGAGCGGCGGAGCGGCCCCGUGUGCCGCCCCGGUGUGCCGGGCCGUGCCGACCCUCCCGGGACGCGGCCGCAACACGUGGAGCAAACUUUCGAGGGAUGGGAGUGCAGCCGGACGGAAACUCCGCCGCGUCGGGAUUGCGCCGUCACGUUGCACGGAGCAGCUCGCCUCUUUCUGGAACAUUUCAACUGCUUCUGUUAGAGCUGAAUUCUAUGUAAAGGAGAAGUGACUAGAAACCCCAGACUGGGUCCCAGGUCUUGCUUAACUUUGUAAUGCACGCUGACUUGCUGACGCGACUCCAGUUAAGGUAUGGUAUGAAUCAGGAGCUCCAACAGCCGCUGCGGAAUGAGCGCGUUCACAUGAAGUCAUCCUGCAGCAGCUAUUGCAGAAUAGUCAACUGCUCUGUGUAAGCAAGCCCUAAAAGCCAAUCCUGGUCCCAGCGGCUGUGUGACUAGGUAAGGGAGGUAAAGGGCACAAGAAAGGCACCCUUCUGUCAGCUAUGGAUGGGCUGGGAGCAAAGAAACCCGUGCUGCUCAGGGCUGCCUUGCAGGCCGCUGCUUUUGGAGUGGUUUGGUUCAGGACUUUCUGCUUUGAUGCCUUUGAUUUCUGAGACUGGCCCUGCGUACGAAGCCGCAGACUGUUUCCUCAUUUAGCCAGUGCAGUGUCUUCACCUGAUACCGAAACAAGAUGGAAGGAAUUGAAUGUUUCCCCCGGUGUGGCUGGAAUUGAUCUGCUUUUAACCCAUUAUCUACCGAUGGAAUAAACAGAAGCAGCUCCACUACUACCAGGAUGGAGAACAACCACCGACUCUUAGUACCGGAAACAGGAAGAUCCAGAAGGGGUUUUUGUUCCUACGUUACAAUUUUUAUCUUUAGUAUUCACAUCAUACUCAAAGUAAGAAUAUUUAUAUGCUAAAAUAAACCCCUUUUUGCUUUGUGAUACUGGAUUGAGCCUGCCCACCUUCUUCCUAUCACAGCUCUGACCCAUGGAGAGAGCCAAGUGGUGGAUGUGGAGGUCAGAAGGGGCCCUCCGAAUGCAGGGGAUGCACACAGAGCAAUCCUGCAGCCCGUCCUGAAGCCGGUGCAUGGAUGAGUGGAUCUUUCUCUCAUGUGCUAUGGGAACUCUGCCUAUAUAAAUGUCUGACAAACUCUACCAGUGCUUUAUAACCUUGUGUCUUCUACCUUCUGGUAAGCCACAAUUUCCUGCUUAUGCAUCUCUGUGGAAGAAGCCCUUCAUAUAUGUGACUGCAUGUGGUGAAUAGGAGAGCAAGAAGAGUUGGUGUUAUUUUUAUCCUAUCUGUUCUCAAAACAGCUCUCCCAGUCACACACCCCUCCAAUAGCCUUGGAGUGGAGGGCAGGUGCAGAGCCCUGUGGGGACACUUGGUACUUGGCCAGGGGCUGGCAGGCAGGAGGGCUCCUGCAUGCCCUGCAGGUGGGAUUCCUGCUCCAUUUCACUGCAGGGCAUUCUGGGCAGACCUGUGAGUCCAAUUCUGUGUGCCCAGGCCAAAGCAUUACGAUUUCAAGGACAAAUUUGGCUGUUCCUUUUGAAACUUCACUGUCAUUUAGCACCUCCAGUCUGGCUUGGAAAAAUGCAGAAAUUCCUAUAAUAAAUGUGUUUUGAAAAGUAUACACAGGCAAUCAUGAUUUUUUCAGUCAGUCUCAAGUGAUGCCAUCCACUUCUACUCUGCUUAAGUGCUGCCCUGGACUUCUUGAAGUUGCCAUCCCUGGCAUAUGCUAAGUAAGUAGUAUGAACAUUUCAAUAGACCUUGCCAAAACAAAGCAUCCCCUUCUGGCAUGCAGAUAAUUCUGCAUGGAUAGCAGAAGAUGUACUAAGCUUGAGCCACUGUUCAUAUUUCUUUGCACAUCAAAGCAAUUGCACCAGCAUCUUUCAAGCACCCAUGUUCCAGGCUGCAAGGAGUCUCUGGCUGCACAGGGCCUUUCUGAAUUGCCCUGUGAUGUUAUCGACUGCUUUCAGUGCACAACAUCUGCCUGGAAUAAUUUAAUGUGGUGCUUUCAGUCAAAUAGAAAUUGCAUGUCAGCCACAUGAUCUGAAUUAGACCAGUGCAGGAAAUAACAUUUUGCAGGCAAAUUUGGUGCCUUCUUUCACUGGAGCCCUUUGGUACUUGGCUGUAGUUUUCGAUGAAUAGCUGUUUCAUGGAGGAAAUAUGGUAAUUAAGGCAAACUUUCUUCAUGUUUUAAACUACUUUCAGCAAAACUAGAAAUCCAAGCUGCCAAGCAACCUUUAGUUUUAGCAGAUUACUGCUGGUCUGUGUCUUUUUAAUUAGGCCAGAGUCAAUCAAGUUUAAUUAAGAGAAUUGGUGGGACAACCAGGACAGCCUUCCCAAGAGCAGGACUCUGUUCUGGGGCCCAGUUGGUACUGGUUGAGAUUUGGUUCUCUAUAAAGACAAAGAAAACAAAAUAAAACCUCAGCAAAAUGAAUAGAUGUCACGAGUCUCAAGCACACAGACAAAGGACAGGGUUUGACCAUCAGUCUGUAGGCAGAAGGGCUGUCACAGACAGCCAGUCACAAUAUAUUCUGAUCUUUUGGUCAGCACAGAUGCUACCUGCAGUACCAAGCUUUGGCUCUGUGGCGAAUGAGAAGCAAAUCUACGGAUUCCAGUGCUUGUACUUCCAGGCUGUUAUGGCUUGCUCUUAAAUGGGGAAAGGAAGCCAAAGGAAAUCAUGUGCAUUGGAGUCAAAUACCAUUUUUAGGAGUGGGAACUGCAUGAGUAUUUCACCAGUGAUUAAAAUAGCCAGGGACCAGGGCACACUAAUGAUUAAUGAUCUCUUUCUGCAAGCUGAGGACAUGUCCUACAGAAUCUGGCCCUCCUGAGAGAUAGUCAUGAAGUACAGUUUGGCGGAGCGUAUUUUAAAGGCAUGAGCAAAAAUUGGUAGGUUAAUUGUUGUUUUUUAUGUUGUGGAUCUGCUGUGUCAUUUGGCUUGAAUUACUGGCCCCUAUUUCGGAAGCAUGCAGUACAUGGAAGUAGCCCUUACCAACCUGGUGCAGCCACACCACUGUCCCACUCCCAGCACAGGCAGGAGUGCGGGCUGAGAAGUUACACUAAGCUCACUGCUGCAGGUGGAACAAGGCCAUCUACACAAUUAUUCUAAAGCCCCUUUUUUUUUGACUUACCUCGUUUGCCUUCUGUGAAGGCGGCUCUCCUUAGCAGGACCCCCAGCACUCCUGAGGUCACAUCCUGCAUGCUGCAUUACGGGGAACUUGGAGGCCUGGACUGCACCUUGUCCCCAUGGCAGCUCAGAGCACAGCCCCACUCGGGAGGCCCCACCAGCCAUCCUCCAUCCCUUCACUACAUGGCAAAGAUUACUGCUGCAGGAAGGAGGCCAAGCAAGAAGCUGUGUGAUCCCUAUCAACGCACCUGCCCUCUUCCAGCAUCACACAGACACCACUGAUUUGUCCAUUAGAGAUGUCAUUUUUCCUGCACAGAAACAGCAGUACAAGGCGUUACUACAAUCAAACUUCAGUUUCAAGUGAGGAACUUCUGGGAGUUCCUCUUCUUUUUUUUUUUUUUUUUUUUUCCAGCUGCAGGGAAGGGUGAAAACUAUCAGCUAUACAAAUAUUACAGUUUAUGCUGUUAAAUAAAUCAUAAUUUGUCAACAGGUAGCUGAAUUAUGGCCAAUUCCACUGAGAGCCAAAACUGAUCUUCUUUCCCAGUGCUAUUGUAUAGUAACAGCUGGCAGAACACUGUCAAGCAAAGCUGUGCUGUGCUAAGCUGAUAAAUAAACCAGUGAGCCUCAGUGUAGGAGCCACAUCAUCUCAUGGAGAGACUGCAGCUCAUGCUGGAAUGUGUUGCACAAAUGCUUGUUAACAGUCUACACACAGGCAGAGAGUUGCUUUAUGAAAAGGUGUUAGAAAGAUGUGAUUUGAAUAAGACACAGCAUUCCUAGGGUUAUCAAAAGAACCAGCCAGGUUUCAGGUCUCAGAGUACUAAAGCACAGCAGCAAGCCAGCCAAUGUUAGCAUUUCUUGUUCAUUCAAAUGGAGAGUCUGGUAACCGGAUUCUGGAUGAGUGGAAAGUCCCAACAAGUUCUAAGAUACAGCAAGGCAAGCCAGAAAACCAACAGAGAGAAAUGUGUUUCUAUUUGUUUCACAGCUCCCAAAUUCUGCUGGAGAGUUUUGCACUCUUCAGUUGUUUCUGAGGCAGAAGGAGACCUCCUCUGAUUGCAGAUGCUGUGUUGCUUUAAGCCAAUCAGACUACACUGUCCCGGGUGGGAGAAGGAAGGGUAACAAGUGCCAGUGCCCCAUCAGGAGAUACAGCUUCAUGCUGGAGCUCAGAGCCUCGUGCAGCCGGCAGAUAACUCUGUGUGUUUUAUACUUAACACCACUCUGGUUUUGUCCUUGCUUUGCAGGCAUUUUAUUUUUAUCGUGGGUAAGAACAGGAACAUGUGCAUUUCUGUGAAAGGCCGAGCACAGGGCUGCAAGCUCCAUCUCAGUGCAAAUAAUACUUUGGCAGGAAACCUGCAGGAGAUUAAAUUAGGGACCUAAAGACUGAAUAUUAAAACAUUUCCAACUUUUGAGUUCUUUUAAAUAAGCAGCUACAAAACAAAGCAGUCUGACAAAAUUAGCAGGACCGAAGUGCUAAAGGAACCCACUAAGGGUCAUUUAUUUGUUGAUGCAGAUUUAAGAGAACUUUUUAAGUUAUUUGUAUUAGUAGCUGUGUAUGUCAACAUGCUAUUUCCUCAAUGCAUUUUGAGUCCAGAUUAGCUAAAGUUUUAGGUGUUGGCAGACUUGCUACAAUAGAAGGGAAAUGCCACUGGAAUAACUUUAAACAUGAUCCAAUCCCUGAUGAUUCAUUGGAUGUGUUAAAAUUUCCUUUGAGACCAUGUAAGUAAUGCAGGGACUGGAGUGCAGAGUGCCUGUGACUCAGCUCUCUGCGAGGCAAAGGGAGGAUGUCAGAAUUGCUCACUGGGACUGGAGGAAUCUCAUUUAUCUAUUUAUAGGCAAGGCUGAGAUGAGCUCGUGCCAUUGAAGAGCUGAAUUUGCCAGUUCUCUUGGGGGGAGGAAAAGGGAAGGCCCUCCUGUUAGCUGGUGGGGCUGCUUCCAAACCCAAGGACUCUGGCCAGCUGCAUUUUCUUGCCCUCGGAUGAGCAGCGUGGGGCACCUGGUGCAGACCUGUGGGAGAGCAGAGCAGCCCCAGCCCCCGGCACCAGCUGCUGCUCAGCCCCUGCUCCAGAGGGGCUGCAGGACCAGCAGGUCCCGUGCCCUGAGGUCAGGGGGCUCUUCCCACUGCAGGGGCAUCACUGCAGCACGCGUGUAUGUCAGCCAGCUUCAUUUAAGAGGUGCUGGUUAGAGGCCGCUUUGCCAAAAGCCUUUUUACUGCUUCUCUUCAAAGAGGUACAGCAGUAUUCCCCGUGAGUGGGCAUUCUGCCUAACAGGGCAUCAGAAAAGGAAAGCUCCAGGGGACAGAGCGGGGAGCCGAGCACACUGCCUGCUUCCAGCCUCUGCACAGCCUGCGAGCCACUGGCAGUGCUGGGACAGCCAUUCCUGAAGGUGUGCUUUCAGCCAUGUAUAUUUAGGUUUGGGAGGUGAAAGACGGUCACACUGUGGGUAAAAAGCAAGAGCUCAAACCCACAGCGAAAUGUUUUAGUGACACUGCUUUUCUGGUACAGCUGGCACUUAGCUGUACAGCAGCACACACUGCGGCCUGGUCUUCUUACUAAGAAAGAAACCACUCCAUAUAGGCACCACACACCGCACUGCUCCAUCACUGGGAACACCUUUGUGGUGUUGGUCCGGGCUGUUCUUUCCAUUCCCUGCAUUUAGCUGCUGUGGCUAAUUCCCUUCCCAAAAAAGAAGUUAUCUAGGAACACAGGGCUCUGGAUUACUGAUCCAGCCUCCUACUGUUACAUUCAAUUACAUCAUAUCGUGCUUUUUGGCAGGUUGUCCCAGCACUUCAUUUAAAAUUUUCAGCCUUAAUAUCAUUUGUUCUUGUGCCAGCAUCAUAAUGUAGUUUAAACAAUUCUCUUUUUUCUCUGAUCUUUACCUAUCAGAUAUAUUUACUGAAAACAAUCCUAUCUCCUCUAGCCUUUGUUUUGAAAAACUAAACAAAUGAAACUCUUCUAGUCUCCUCUUGUUCCAAACCCUCUGAUCAUCCUCAAUGCCCUUCUCUGUACCUGCUAAUCUUCCUCGAACAUGAGUGAACCUGUACCUUCUAGGAUUGUGUUUGCUUCUCCAUAUCAGAUUGGUGGCUCACAGUCAUCCCUGGGAGCGAAUUAUUCUCUGUGGUUUUUUUUCCACCCCCCUGCCUUUGUCAUCUUCAAGUAAGUAAUAUGAUAUUCUAGUUAUUAAUUUCUAAAUGCAUGUCUUAAUACUUUCUCUAUUCUAUUUCAGAUGAAUUCUGUCAUUCACUCAUUGCUGAUUGAUGUUCCGAUCAUCCUCUGUAUUAACAAAGCCCGUGUCCUCAGCAGAUUUCUUUACUACAUUCCUACUGCUGUGCCAGACUCGUUAAUGAAAGAAGCAAGAGUGAGCUCAACACUGACUCCUGAGGAGUUCCACUUACUGACUGCCUCUGUCUGGCAUUUCUUCUCUGCUCAGAGCUCCCCUUUCCUCUGCACUUUAACAGGUUUGCAUUCACCAUCCACACUAAUCCCCAUCAUCUCAACUUCAACGAGUAAUUUCCCCUGUGGUAUAAUAUCAGAUUCUGGAUAGAGUAAAUCACCUGUAUUUCAUUUGCCUAAAAAAAUAAUCAGUCAUCAAAGAGAAAUAUCAGGUUAAGCUGAACUCAUUUAAUGUGCCAAAUCCUGGGAUGGAAAUCUGCCAGUGCACCUUCACCUGAGCACACCGAAUUCUUCAUGCUUUUCCUUCCACCUUACAUGUGAUAAUUUUCAUUCCCUUAUGUAUAUUCCCACUAGAAAUCUUGUCUUUGUCCCACUGCUCAAUACGAUCAUCUCUACUGAAAAUGUGGACAAAGUGUUUUUAAUUCAUUUUUAGACCAUAUGUGGAUGGGUCUUAAUCUCAACCCCAUUCUCACUCCAUAAUGACCACGUUUCUCCUCUUUUUAUUUCUCUAGCUGAAACCCUCUGCCAUCUGUUCUAAUUUCCUUUUCAAGUCCAAUUCACAAGUUCACUUUUGACAUUUUUCAUCCUGUCUCUGCCUUUCCCAUCCCAGCAGCUUCAAAUUGGAUGACUGAGGCAAAUACUGCCUUCAGUCUUCUGCUCCACCACUCUUCUCCAAUGCCAUCCUUGUGGCAGUGGCAGUAACUCAUAAGGCAGGUCCAGAACUGCUGCACUGAACACGUCACUGGAGUGGUGGCUGUUCAGGACCUGCAGGGUAAGCUGCUUUGUCAGCCCUGUGAUAAGAGUGAUGGCCUCCAUCAAAGAGCAGAGCAGAGCAGAGCAUCGUAUUCUGUAGCAGUUCCUCUCCAGACAUCUGAUUUCAAUCCUUAGCUGCAUGCCAGCAGAAUACCCUCAUGCCAAUCAGAACUUCUGCAUGUCAGUUAAUGCUCUCCACGUGUUUGGGGCUGGUUAUUUAUCCCACUGGGGUUGGAGCAUUUCCUGUCAGGGUUCAUCUUCCUGCAUGUUUCAGCUGGUUUUGGAAUCCAAGUUCCAUCACAUUCAAUUCCUCAGAUCUGCAGUGCAGCUGAUUCCACUAAUUAGCUCCCUUAACUUCUCAACAUUUGCCCUCUUUGAGAUGAGUAUGUUUUGGUGUGUCACUACAGACGGUGCUGAAGAUUCAGUCCUAAUGAGGUGCCUUUAAAAGCUCAUGUUUCUUACCCAGAGUCCUCAGAUGCUUUGGAUGACUCACAACUUGGUGCUUUAGAGACAGCGAAAGAACUGCACUUCCCUUUGUGCAGGAGACAGACUCUGUAUCAUCUUAUCAUUGCUCAAUAUUACCCAGCAUUUUCAUUCUGUAGCCAACUGAGACAAUAAAGAGCCUAAAAAGUCACAUUUCAAAAGAUACUGCACUGGAUGGAGAAUGAGUUAAGUCCCUAAAGUGAAGUCCAAAGCUUCCUACCCCCACUGAGAUCACUGCAGCACUUUGCUAACCAAUUAUGCUUACCAGAAAGCAAGGUGUCUGUACCAAGCUAUUUGCUUUGAAUUCUGCCUAUUUCCUGCAGAAAGCAAAGCCCAUCCAGACUGCAGCUGACCGGUCCGAGACACGCCGACAGGUAGCAGAGGCCUAGCUUAGAGUGCUCGUACAGCACCAGCACAAGAAGAGAGCCACGUCCACAAGGGACUUCUGAAAAAUGCAAAGCACCUUGAGAAAUCCAGGCCUUACUGCCGGGACUCUGCAUGUGAUGCAUGUCCUCUCUUUACCUGCCUCCUCAGCUGCAGAACUGCAGCAGCACUGCCCUCUUCCCAAGCCAGCAUGCGAGUGAUACAGCCACAGUGCUGGGGCUACGUUGCCAUCUGAGAUAGGUGGAAGCUGCCUUCUGCUGCCAAACUGGUGCGUGUUCAAACCCUGUAGAAAGAGCUGAAAUGGCAGAGCAAUGUAAAUUUCUCUCCUCUCUCCUCUUUCAAUGGGAGCAAAUAUGCCCCUUUCCCAAACCACGUCUGCCUUGAAUGCUCCCUGCUCUGCUGGGCACCUACUGACCUUGGCAGUGUCACAGGACCCGUGUUUUUCUGAAAGAGUAACCUCCUUGUGAAGAGGCUUAUUGCUUUGGGAAACACAAAGCAGUCUUGUCCUCCAAGUGUCCAAGCCUUCUUUUCACGUCUGUUUAUUCCUUCACUAGCAUUUAUUUUUGGCCCUGCAAAAAAAAAAAAAAAAAAAAAACACAACUCCACAUUAAAGGGAUGGUGUCCAGUUAAAACCCACAUGCUGCACCACCCCUUCACACCCCUUUGCAGAGGAAGGGAGCAGAGGAGACCAACAAAAAAACUCAAGAAGAACUGUCUUCUGUUGGGCACAAAACUGCCUUUGCUUUCUAGAGAAAAAGCAGCAGAGCAUCCUCAGAGCAUUGGUCAAAUAGGCCAAAUUCCGCAUGCCUGAGGCCUGUUUGUAUACAUAAUCACAAAUUCAAGGACCAAAUUUCCAUUUGUCCUGGAAAAUCUCUCUAGUUGGUAUUAUAAAAGGAGCCCAGGAGAGCAGGACACCAAUGUUCCGCAACGUCAUACCGAGUUUGUGGUGUGUGUAACUCUUGAGCAAUGCCAGCCUUUGCAACACAGCUUACCAAUGAUAUAAAAUCAGAAAGACAGUUUCAUGCUGCUUCUGUGCUGUCUCCACAGCUCUCUGGGACUACUAGAGCAAGAACAUGGCUUCUUAUGCAGUAUAGAAAAGCUUAUGAGGAGCAGCAGGUGAUUGAUGCCUCCUGAGGCCAGUGCCAGCUGCACUUAACUGCUGCUCAAGGCCAGUGUUAAGGCAAACAAAAGCACUUAGGCCACCAGCAGCGUAUGCUCACCUGUUUGACUUUGCAGAGAAGUAAUCACAGAGCCAGUGCCAGCUUUGUGCCUGUCGUCUCCCAGCUGAGAGCUGUGACUGUGUGUGGCCUGAUGCAGCUGCAGAAGGGCUGUCUGAGGGCUCACAAAGCUGAAGUCCGAGGCACAAAGUUCAAGUCCAAGGUCCUGUGUUGACAGUGUGUGUGGUCAAGACCUGCGUUCCUGUUGAAAGAAGGAGAGAAGGAAAGCUGGACUGCAUCAUGAGCUCUUUGUACUGGCUCUGCAAGAGCAAUUGUGCUCACUGGCAAUAUCUAUGUCUUGGACCACCCAGCAGCAUCCAGCAGCCCGGGUCGGGUAGGUGUGCUCCAUUUGUUUAGCACCAUGACUGAGUUGGGCACCUGAGGACAAAGUUAUUAAAGCAGUCUGCUCUCAAGACCUAUGUGACAGCAACUGCAUCACUGUCUGCUUUCACUGAAGUCAAUGGGACUCUGGCCACAGGCCUGAUUCCUCUCUCUCACACAUCAAUAGAUUAUCUUUCAAGUCCAUUGGCUUCUAUGAAAUUAGAGCUGUCAAGCCCUGGAUGUACACUAUGGCAUGGUUCAGCCAAAAGAAAUGGGGGACAUGAUGGAAAUUGAAACCUCUGGAAAGACUUGGCCUAUCUUGUAUGCUUAGCAAGUCAGUAGAAUAUUAAUGCUGCAUCCAUCACUCAGAGUACGUGCUUCUGGAUGCUUGGCUGACUUUGGUAAGGGGCACUUUGAGAAGGAUAAAACUGCAUUUUCAUUGCUGAGAAUCUUCCUACAGCACACAAUGUGGCCCAUGGGAUGCUGACAACCUACUGGAAUUGUCUUCAGAGACUACAUAGGGGCUAACACUGCUAAACUGUAUAAACAAGUGCUUACCCCUGAAUAUCACGUUAGUCCAAACAGGAUUUAUAAACACAGAGAUGGUCAGAGGUGGGCUGUCCUCCAAUCAGUCUGUGAAUCUAGAAAGAAAGAAAGAAAAAAGAUGACUUUGUAUUCUUUCAAUUACAUACGUUUCAUACAUAAUUAAAGUAAUCACAAAAACACAUGCAUUGUAUCAGUAAUUGGCAAAUUAAGAAUUCGGUCACGGUUGUUCAGGAACUUACAGACUCCAUGCAAUACCAAUAAUAAUUAUUUAUAACCUACUAUGCAAGGAAAUUAGUCCAGGAAAACUGACUGAUUAUAACGUAGCACAGUCACCCCAAGGGAGAAGUUGAGUGCAAUGUGCAAGGAGCAAGACAUCACACCAUUUUCUUGUCUUGUAUUAUAAACUUUACUGCAAGUAGCAUUCUGGUAUUUUGUAUUGAAUGUCUCGGUUCCCCUGUAACAAAUACCUAUUGUAUUCCUGCUGAAUUUCAUUGAAUUUACUCCUGAGUUAUACUUAAGGUCUGAGGCAGAUCCACAUUGCUGCUUUCUGUAUAAAUCCCUGAGCUGCUUAUUCACGAGGAUGUGCAGCUUCGCAAAAGAAUGAGUUGAGAGAAUGAGCUGGGUGGCAGACUGUUAGUUCUGAUGGUAUUACCAUAGCAUCCGGAGAAGCUAAAUGCAGUGCUAACUCAAGGUACAAGAAAGCUUCAGCCCUUGAAAAGAGCUAACAAAGACGAUGCACAGAAAGUGGGAGGAAGCAAAGAGGCACAGAGAAGAGAAGCGGCUGUGCAGUGUCACACAGCAGGCAACCUGGGGGGGCAGGAGCACGGCCCCGUCUCUUAGCACUUUCCAGCUUCACACUGCCUUUUGGUCCUUUCUGCAUGUGGACCUCAUGCAUCUUCAAUUAAAAGCACAACCCAAAAAUAGAAGAUCUUUUUUUGUCAAGAGAACUCGUGCUCUGCGAGUUGUGAAAACAGAUUAUUUCCCAUGAUUAAUACCUGCCUCCUCUCUGAAGACAUCCAUCUCUGCGUGGAUCGGAUUCUAAUAAAGCAAAGCUCACCUCUUAGGAAAGAAAGCUUUCCGUUUUCUUUCUGCUAACAUUUCUCCUCACCAUUGUCCCUGCAAUCCUUUUAUGAUGCAGGCCCAACAUAACUCACAGUACUUCCCAUUAUUGUGUGCCACGAGUGUGAGCAGAGCCCUUGUUGUGGUAGAUAGCAGCCUUCAGACACCCCAUGUUUCCUGUUCAACUGGAGCCAAUCGCACACUGCUUGGUACUGAAACUAAGUCCCUAAUUAAUUUAUACACAACGAGGCCAUUGUAACGAUAACGUAAUGGAGAUCAGUCCAUUAGCAAAAAGUGUGGAUAAAUUAUUUUCUUUUAAUGCUUCCAUCAACGUUAAGACCCAUUAAUCAUAUUUUAAGAAAACAACUUUAAACUUACACGCUAUUUGUAGGCAUUUCUGAUGGGACACCCAGCCAGCCCUGCUGUUCAGCAAGGAAAUUUCUGCCAUUCACUGAGCAGAACUGGAUCUUUACCACACAGAAGAUGGCACAACUGGUCCGACUCCACUGAUAUUCUCUUUAUAACGUGAGAAAGUAGCAGUUUUAACAAAAAGGAAAUCAAGAUUAAAUGCAACAUAUUCUGAAGGAGGAAAAAAUUCCUAGCAGCAGCUGAAAGGGAAGUGGAAUUCAUCAAUGCCUCUUUCAUCUUUAUCAAAUUACUAUUCAGUGCAGUUACAUUUAUUAAUAACAACAGCCCUUAAACCACAUUGUGAAAACCCAUUAGCAAGAAAUGCUUUAAAAUCUACAACAGGCUGAAACAGAAGGUUUAUCAAAGGCUGAAACAAUUCAACAGUAUAAGCAGAGUGGGCAUUUUUAUGGGCUGCUGAGCGUGCCAGAGCAUCACUGUGACAUAUUCACAAGUGGGCUGUUUGUGCUGUGUAACUAAAACUUGCUCUUGAAUUCAGUAACCCACAUAACCAAGAGGUAAUGCAAACUCAUGCUGUGCUUUGGAUUUUUUCCCCUCACUCCAUACAUACCUAUUGCUGCUGGCAGUUGCAGAGCUGUCAGUGCAGCACUGAGCGGGCAGUCCCACAGCUCUCACUGCUCACAGAGGGGAUGCACAGUGACUUCCCCAUAACAAAACCUGAUGAGAAGAACCUUUGGAGAGGUCAUAACUAUUCCCAUGAGAGUCAGGACCAGCCUGGAGCCGACCACCGUAUCACCCUUUAAUUUUUCAACACAGUUUACCCUGGAAGUUUACAUAUUCCCUUCUCAUUCCCUUACUUGGUUUUUUAAGAGCAGGCAGUUUGAAUGUCAAUCACUGCUGAGCAAUCUCUGAGAGGGUAUGAGAUACGGAGGUGAAAUCCAGAGGAGGGAUUCUGUCAUCAUCCUCACAGCAGAAGCUGCCAGCCAUGCCCAUUGUGCACAUCCUGCACCACUGGAGAUGUGUACACAUCCCAGGGGGGCUGUUACAGAAGGGCCGCUGCCUUGCCCUGCUCUCAGUCGCUUCCAGUUUGCAGCAGAGAACAAUAAUGGCACAGACAGCGCAGCAUUGCUGUGUGCUCAUUCCGCAGCAGUGACUGUAUCUGUCACAGCCUCCUGCUGCAUCAGGGCAACGAUGUUUCUGAAGGCAUUUUCUUUGUUGCUGAACAAGGCAAAGCCUGAGUCGGGGAAUACAGGAGAGGCGAAGGGACAGAGCGAGGGAUGCGACUGCAGCUGGGUACAAGUGGACAGCAGUGCUUGCAGAUCAGCCCAUGCACAUUCUCCUUCCAGAUCUGAUAAUUCCCCAAUUCUGUAAAAACACACCCAAGGCAGGGCUCACGAGGUGCCUGAGGCAGAUAUGCAGACUGCAACUAAAUGCAUCCCACUUCUCUGGAGGGAAAAGUCCCUUCACACCCAUAAGCUGUACAGGUAUCUCACCCCAGCAGGAUGGGCAGACUGUGCCACCUCCAACCACUCUCCGGCUCCAUCCGUCCCCACAGUGUGUUCUACUUAGGAGAGCAAAAGGGUGGCAGAACAAAUCCGUGGCAGGAUGUAUCUUCUGUAAUCGCACACAACUCAGCUUGUUAAAUUGACUGGUUUCUGUCCCAGCUGAGGUUGUAACUCCAUGAUUACUUUUGACCGAGCACAGCUAGAAAACACGUAAUUACAUGGGCCAAAGCACAGAGAAUGGUGCCCACUGCUUUGCUGGUCAAGUGCAGCACAUGAGGGGAAUAGAACCGCUUGGAAAUGAAGUGUACAUUCACACCUCACCACAUCCUCACUGCAGAGUUUACGGCUUUCAGGCUUGGGCAGCAUGAAAGGCAAAAAUCUCCCAGGAGCAGUGAUGGAUUGCGUGGCAUGAAAAAUCACAAAUGGUCAGUGCUGGGGAUGGGGGUUCCACCAUCCAGCCAGAUGCAAGCAGUCCAGGUGAGCACUGGUGAGACAGCACUUGGCAUCUCGCAGGAACGAUCCUUCUGGGCUGUAAUCCCCCCUCUCCUGGUGCAUUUUCUGUUUUCUCUGUUGUUGACCUGCAGUGAUGGAGGAAAGGGGUUGGACAUAGAUGGUGCUCUGAGCAGGAGUGGGGUCUGCUGGAGAGGGAACAGCUGUGGGGCUGGGAGGGAAACAGAGACGGGAAUGAGACAGAUACAUUUCCCCUCUGGGAGGAUGGGCUCAGGCAGCCUGAGGAAAAUAAGGCUAAAAUGAAAGGGAGGAAACCAGAGAAGAGAAGAUGGAACAAGGGAGAUCACAGAGAACAACAGGAAGCAGUGCUGAGACGACAGACAUGAAGGCUGGGCUUGUGGGAGAAAAACAAACAGAGUAAAAAAAAAAAUCAGGAAUAUUGUGCAAAAGACAGAAAGAAUUUUUUAAAAAGUCCUAUAAAAGUGCCAACUACCCAGCUGCUGUAAGUAAAACUCCAGUACACUUACGUCAACACCACACCACAGAUCAGCACCAGGGGAGGAGGUCUGGGGUUGUUUUUUAAUUGCUUGGAAAGGCUUCCAGUGAUGCAGAACGUGAAGUCCGGCUUCCACUGAUGUCAAAGGGAUUUAGAGGUGCUCACGGUCUCACAAAACCAAGACCCAGCUUGUCAAAGUGCAUGAGACAAGAUGCCGCAUUCAUCCCUCGAGAAGAGCCAGCUUUGCACAUUGCCUGACCUGCACCUCGAUGGCACACGCGUGGCAGGGACACAAGGACACAGGGACACAGCCCAGCUCUGCCCACAACACACCAGGCUUUUGCUUUGCUCUCCCUGAUGAGCAGCGAGGUCCUUGGUUUGCACAGCCAGGCGUGAGUAGGGGUAAGAGGCAUCCGCUUUGCUGGUUGAAGUGAAAUGUUUGGCUUAUUGGCACAGCUUGUUUAGAUUGGCUCCUAGCACUCAGUCGAUGUUAUUAGAGAAAGCAAUCAAAAUGCAUUAAAUACUAGGAACUACAUUAAAACAACAUGGAGCAUGCAACACAAACCAAGAAAAGCAAGGGGCUGAGUAUGGAGUCUGCCAUCCCCUCAGUCAUGAGUAUGAAUAUGGUGGAGCCAUGUCACAGCGACGUUUGGAGAGGUAGAGCUGGUGAGUUCUUGCAUGCUGCAACACGGAAGAUUUCAUCUCCUUUUCCUCUCCAAACCACAGCUUCUAGAAAGACUUUGAAAUGCUGCAGUCAGCUCCUACGCCUCCCUGCUGAGCUCCUUCCAGACUGAGCUCUUAAAUUUGCUAUGUUUUUGCCAAGACCUAAUUUUCUUUUGACCACAUAUUAAAGGGCAGAUUCCCAUGCCACAGGGAGGGACUGAGAAGUCAUAACGGACACAUCCGUCACCUGUUUGGCCAGAGAUAACUGCUCUACCCCACUUCUGCAGCUCCAUCAGACUUCUCAGUUUCUUCUUUGGCCUUGAGAUAGGUCUCCAGGGGCUCUGGGAUCCCUAACUUAUCUGUUUUGUUAACUGAUUGCAGCCACAGCCAGAUCCUCGCUUUUCUACUAUACUAUGAAAAUCACAACUGCAUGUUACACCUGGUUGAACAGCAAGGUGAUUAUUGUAAAGCCUGGAUUUCCCAAGGGAAUAAAGCUGUACAUGGAGCACUGUGUGAGCCGAAUGCGUGCAAGUAGUUCUUGAUCGUGUCAGGCUAUUUCAAGGAGACAGAGAGGAGGAUUUCUCAGAGCCCUGAAGGUCCCAGACAGACGCUGCUGAUGACAGAUGGAGGACAUGGACACCAUUAGCAUCCCCUGAGGAAAAGACAGCAGCGGAUGCUCCCUCUACACCAGACAGCAGAGAUGCCACAGAGGUGAGCGCUGUUCAUUCAACUCGCUGAUCAUGAAAUUACUCAUUAAUAAUCUCUUUGCGUGAUCGCUUUCUAAUGCCACUCCCCUUCCCCAUCUGCUUGGGGCUGCACCCUGCACAGCUGUCCGCUAACCACCUUCCUCACCCAGCUGCCCAUCACCUCCAAGGCCUCCAGCAGUGAGCCAUCCACGUGUUGCUGCAGCAGCGUAGCAGGGAAACCGGAGAGAGGAUCAACACACGAGGCGCUGGGAGCUGCAGCGGGGCAACAGCUGUCCCUCAGCACAUCCAUUGUUCUUGUGCAGAGAAGCAGCUUUAAGAAAGUGGUGUAAAUUACAGGAACUGGAUCACUGGCUUGAACAAUGUCAGCACGUCCCUUCGAGGGCAUUCACUCCCCCCACGCCAUGAAACGACAAGUUAUUAUUUAACAGCAGACCUCACACAGAGGAAUGUUUUUCUGUAUUCAUGACCUCUAACAAGUAUAGCAAUUGUUUACUAUACUCUGAGUGAUCCAGAAGGAGCUAUAAUGUGAUAAUUAUAGAGAAACCUUCCUAAAAAUAUAUUUCUGAUGCAUCAGCAAAAACUCGGCAGGCCCCUCCAGCUGGCACUGCACAUAUGAGUUAAGCCCAAUUUGAGAAUCAGAUCAUGCACUACAUUUUGUGCAGCUGUGCAGACUCCAACGAGAAGCUCUGGAGCAGAUGUCUUGUAGCAAUCAGGCAGGGCAUGAAGAAGCAGAGAAGCAGAAGAGGCCAAAGCCACGUUUCUUGACUGAGUGGUCAGUGACAUAGGAAAGCAUCAGUUCCAUUUUCAAGUUGGAUAAACUGAGGCUCUGGAAAUCAGAACACCGGCAUUUUCUAAGCUGCUCUCUGACUGGUUGGUGUCUGAUGUUAGAGGUCCAGCUCGACUCCAGGCUGCGCCUGCUUCCCCACAACUACUGAGCCUCUGCAUUUUUCAUGAAGGGAUACAAUUCAUUACAGUGAUUUUUUGUUCCGACACGCUGCAUUUGUACACCUGCUCCAUGAUCAGCGCUUCCAAACCCCAGCAACGCUCUUUGAAGAAACACCCAGAAAGGCCUCAAGAUGUUCCUGCCUUGCAGCCAAGCCACCGAAAAGCCAACCUGCUGCUGCUGCCCAGAGCCCUGAGGCUGACCUGACCCCUCUGCUGCUGUUUCCGCUGAUCAGACUGUGAAGGGAAGCCAGCGCACAGGUGUUUGUUUUCUUUGCCCAGCACAGCACUUCCCUGAAGACAAGCUGGGACUUCACAGUCUCUGUAGCUCCUUGGCAGCAUCUGCAGUCUUCUGUGCCUCAGUUUCCUCACCUACAGAAAGGCCCACAUGACAAACCCUGAACCCAGGGCUGUGUUAAAGUUUGGAAAACACACAGCACCUUGAAAGAGGGCUUCUAUGGAAGCACAAACAGUCCUUUAUUGCUUCAAUUAAAAAGAGCGUGUUUUACAAUCCACAGUCUGUUUAUACUUGCACUUCUUAUGGAUAUCUCUGAAAAGAACCCAGCCUCAGCAGCUCAUGGAUUUGGCACAGCACGCCAAAUAAUAAGCAGGCUCACCAACCCUUCUACAACACACAGUGCUUCUGUGUAACUUUGCAGGCUGUGUUUGACUUGCCUGAACUUGAACAGUCACCACUGAUUGAUUGGCUUCUAAAAAUACACAUAUGCCAUGGUUCGGAGUCCAGAGAGCUUCUGUUGAUUUAGAUGGAGACCUUGCUGGGAAGAGGCUAAGACAGACACCUGACACCAGGGUGCUGCUGUGCCGGCCACUUGCUGCCGACUGCACAGGGUGCUCUGAAUGCAGGGCUCCACCACGCUCAGCAGCCCUCCAUACCUCAGAGUGGGGAAAAAAGCAGAAAGAAAGCAGCCGUAUGGAUCCCUUCCCUUCCUGCAACUCCAUUUCCAGGCUGCCCUGCAGCUGUUGGUGAUAAGCAGAGUGAACCUGCACAUAUCCUGCCAGAGGGCUGAGCUCAGGUGCUGAGCACCUGCGGCUCCCAGCAGUCAGGGGGGUGCUCAGUGCCCUGCUGAGCUGGGGGGGCUCCCAGCAGGGAUGUGACUCCUGCAAGGGAGAUGCAUUGCACUGUACCCUGGAGGAGGCUGCAAGCACAUGAUUAUUGCAACAGAAGCCGCUAGGAGAAAAAACAGAUUACCAUUUCCAUUGGAGGUAAUAGGUGCCAUGUUGAUUUAUAAACCUGUCACUGCUGGCCAUUAAGCAAACGCUGUUGCAGCUCCUAGAUCCCAUUCCGGAGCACACUGAGUAAGCUGCAGUCUCUGGCACAAUGUCUUGGAGAGCUCCACUGUAGGGCAUAGGGCCACAGCUUCUCCCUGUAGUGACCAUGAUGUUAGCACUCCCAGUUACAUGCACCCACAUCGCUACAGCUGAAGCUUCAAAAUACAUUUUGGAAAGGGAAGGAGGUGUGGGGCUGCAGGGAGCCAUGGCACAGAGCAGAGGAGCUCAAGCAGCUGAAGCUUGCCACAGGGAAACUGCAGAAAGUCAGGAGCAAAGCAAAGCAGUGUCUGUGCAUUCUGGGUGUGAUGCACUGACAGCAGCAUGCUGGGCACUGGUGAGGAACGCAGCAACACCAGGUUUGCUAAAGAAGUGAAACUGAGACAGUUUCCAGCACUGUGCCCAUGCUGGCAGGUCUCAGGGCCACUCUGCUCACUUACCUGCUGACAUCGGAGCUAACAAAAGACAAAGCAGAGUGCAGUCAAAUAUAUACACUGGAUGUUGCCAUGCUACUGAAUGCAGCUUAGCACAGCAGGACUUUUUCUAAAUGAUGUAUUGUAGCUGAGCUAAAACCUAAAUAAUAAUGCUUACUUUGGCUCUCUGGAAGAUCACAGCUAGACAGCAGCCUGUGGAAUACCACGGCUAGUGGAAGAAAUCAUCGGUAUUCUAGGAGCACAUGGGACUGGAGAUGAUCACUGCAGCCAGACUCCUCUUUCACAGCAUCACAUGCCAGCUCAUUUGUGUGUGGGUUAUGCAAUGGAACCCGGCCCUGCUCUCCUGAUGCAACGUCUUGCAGAAGCUGGUUGCUCCAAGACUCAGAACCCUCAUUUCCAGCGUGAGUGGAAGUUUACAGUCACUCUGUCAUCCAAAGAUUUAUUGUCAUUUAUGUAAUGUUCUUCCUUCUGCUGUAUCUACAGAAACCAGUGCCCUCUCUUCAGCUCUGCCACACCGAACAUCCCACAUGGUCACUUCUGUGUCACUCACUGUCCCAGUCAUCUUCUGAGUUCUGCUUUGGAUUCCUCCUUCCCAAAGACAGCUGAUGGGAAUUGGCUGUGACUUUCCAGAUGGAGGCUGAGCAGUUCCUUGUAUGGUGGCAGAAGUGCUUCCCCAUCUUUACUGGAAAUAUCCUGCCUAAUAAACCCGAUGAUCUCACUUGGCUUUUGUGUUCAGUUUUAAAAGAGGUAUAAAAGCAGGCUCUCCAAUAUUUCACUUCAUUUUAUUUUAGUGUUUGUUAUCUGGAAAAAAAGAGGGUAGUUAAACUGCCUUUUUAAUUAAAUUCCUUUAAAUCUCUGAAAACAAGGAAGAAAGAAAGAUAGUAAACAAAGUAAGACAGAAGAAUUACCAUGUGUAUGAGCAGAGGUAUUUUUUCCCGUAACACAUUGAUAUAUAAAUCUCUCUUUCAAAAACUUGCAGGAUGGCUCAGUUGCUCAGUCUGUCUCCUGGGCAACUCGUGACACCUCACAAGAGGAGCCUUGUGGGACAUCAGUCCUGGGAAUUCCAUUGAAAUUCUCAUCCAAAUAAAAAGUACUCCUAAUUUCUUGAAGUUUGUGAUCAGUGGGCUGCCCGGGGUCAUCAGCACCCUGAGGACCUCUCAUGGGGCCACAGACAUGCUGACCUGGAGCACCAUAAUGGAUCAAAGGAACCACGGAGCCCUCUCUGCUCAGCCACCCUCACUGCUUCAUGGCGGGACCUGAGGGACUGCCCCCACCUUUGAAUGCCCAUGAAAUAAACGAGGCUGGUAAAAGACUGUGGUUCAACUGCAUGAAAGAGCUAACAGACAGCGAUGGCACUGAAACUCCAACAUCUGCCACAGAGAUGGGGACAGCACAAUUACACCACCCUGCAGUCAGAAGGAAAAUGUUGCUUCUCUCUUCCAUUGUGCUACGAACUCUGUGGCACCUGGAACCAACUCUGAGCCUGUGCACAAAGGGAGAAGUGGUGUCGGGAAAGCACGUGCUGCACUGUGCUCAGCAGCCAAGGGGUCCAUGCAGAAGCUGAAGGCUUUACAUCAGAACCCACACAGAUGGAAGCUGGGAGGCAGAUGGAAGAACACGAUCUCCCUCUUCCAGCAGCAGAAAACUAUAAUGCAGCUCAAACCACAUCAAGAAAUCAUGCUUGAAUUCCUGUUCUCAGGAGUCAUUUAGUCACCAACCUCCAAAGCUGCUUAGGGAAGCAGGGAAAACCAGGUCUGUAACUUGCUCUGAGUAGUGUGGCAAAGAAGUGGAAGUCUGUGGUGUACCAGUGUGAUUCAGGAAGACUGACACUUCAUUAGUGUGAGUAAAGGCAUCACCACCUAGUCUUUAAUAUGCAUGUUUAGCUAGGUCCCAAUCCAGUCAUGAGAUCCCUGUUGCACAUGAGGAAGGCCUGUGUUCCAGUAGCUUUUAGUCCUCACUCAUGGUACUUUUUGCAGACAUACCAUGAAGCAUUCCCUUUAGGGAGGGGAAUGCUUAGAUGUAUCCUAUAAAAAUCAUAUGCUUUCUCUUCAGUCGUAACUACACGUUGCACGAGUGUUGUUUCUUAAUUAACAGAACAAGCAACUUAAUCUUUAUAAUUACACACCUUGGGACUAAAGAUUGCUAUAGAUGCAUUUUGCAGCAAGGCUUCCUCGCCUCCUCCACUGGGAAUUCCAACAUUUGCCUCUGAAACAGAGAUGCUGGGGCUGGCAUUUGCCACACUCAAAUCCACAAACCUCUGGUUGUGUCAGUUCCUGAAUUACAGACCUGAUGUCUGCAAAUGAUUGCUUUUCAAGGCGAGGGCAGCCACCCUUCCGAAGGCUGAGAAAUAAAUAUAUCGUAAAUCCACA